rnacentral:pre_miRNA from 1 species
AGUGUAAUUGUGGGUUGUAUGAUUUGUGUACACUUAACUUUUUAAGAAAUUGCUGAAGUGGUUUCCAAAGUGGUUGUAUCCACUUACACUCCCACUGGCAAU